rnacentral:lncRNA from 10 species
GGUCGGCCUGGGUUGCGGCUCCUGGGAAGCCAAAACGUGAAAUGGGGUUUCCAUCCUGUCUUCCUAGAGGAAAUAAAAUUCAGGUCGAAGACAGUUCCCAGGGUAGCAGUAGUCUCUAACUGGGCAAAUAGUGUCGGAGAAUAGGCUUCCUCAAAUUAAGGGAAAAAAAAAAGAAAAAACCCCAAACCAAACCAAACUAAAAUAAACCCUAAAAUAUUGACUCGGGCAAAAGAGAGCUACUCAACACGGGAACGGAACAAAAGAAACAACUUCACAAAGUCACACUGACUGUGUAACAGGUUUAAAAAAUGAAUGGGUCCUGAAGCAACGAUAACUCAUUUUUGACAAAUGGAUGGACA